rnacentral:tRNA from 1 species
GGACGCAUAGCUCAGUUGGUUAGAGCGCGUCGUUGACAUCGACGAGGUCACUGGUUCGAGCCCAGUUGUGUCCA